UACGUAGGGCGCAAGCGUUGUCCGGAAUUAUUGGGCGUAAAGAGCUCGUAGGCGGUCUGUUACGUCUGCUGUGAAAACCCAGGGCUUAACCCUGGGCUUGCAGUGGAUACGGGCAGACUAGAGGCAGGUAGGGGAGAAUGGAAUUCCCGGUGUAGCGGUGAAAUGCGCAGAUAUCAGGAGGAACACCGAUGGCGAAGGCAGGUCUCUGGGCCACUACUGACGCUGAGAAGCGAAAGCAUGGGGAGCGAACAGG
rnacentral:rRNA from 1 species